AAGUGCCAUGUAUAUGUCGUACAUGCACUCUUUCAUCAUGUCUGAGUGUGGCCUGAUAGCCCACUGACUAUUGAUGAGCUGGAGGAGCAAACUAGUCCAGGAGAUAACACAUGUAGGCAGUGGUUCUAUAUCACCUGUGUUGAGCAUUAUUUGAUGCACCCUCAAAGGUCGAUAAGCAUGUUGUGCAACGUAAGAGUCACGGGUUUGGGAACAAAAAAGCUCUGUCUGUCUAAGCAAGACUAGAGAUGGAAUGAGUACAUCAUGCAUGAGUACUGUAGGAGUUUGGCGUUCGGUGUUGUACCAUUCGUUUUCGCAAAGCUUCCCCUUCUGUACUUAUCUUUGAUAUUUCUAAACCACGCAAGUUGGGUGGUGUGCUGCUUUGCUGCUUGGAAUUGUAGUUAGUCCGCAUUGUCAAUUAUUUUACUGGUCUCGUCAUCGUCCAGUAGCAAUCGACAUUCGUUGUUCUCAUGGGACUUUAGCUUGUACUCAUUUUCGUUAUGUUUACCUUCCCAACUUUCAUCUUUCCUUAAAGGGGCACUCCGGCUUCAUUUUCGACGCCGAGUUUUCGAUGCCAAGACGAAGGUAGGUGAAAGAGAAGACCCCUCGAACAAGAACGAGUCUCCAGAAGCGAUCGAGUCGAGCAGGAAGACGACUUUUUGAAUUUCGCCGAGCGAGCGCUGAUGACGUAAUGAGGGAUUAGCUUGCCAGUGGAAAUGCACCUGCGCACAUACAUUUUACACACUUUUUGGCCAAUUUUCAAUCGAAGAGGAGGUUGUUUGCUAUGUUCUCCCAACGUCGUGAGCGAUCCCGUCUUCUAUACCCUUCCAGGUACCCUGAAGGUCCUCCAGACGAGAAUUUAUCUCCAGCAAAGCGUUGUUCAUCCGCUAAAUUCGUCUCGAGACAUAUUCAGUGCUGAUGAAUGUAGAAUGUUGAAUCUGUGAUAAUUGUCGACGAUGGAGAGAGAGAGGCUGAUAGCCGCUGUCGCAGGGAGAGUGAAGCUGCUGGAAGUAACAAUGGGGAGCCCGUUUGUAUCAUCUGAACAACCAGACUUCAAAGCAGCUUGACCAAAUCGGAGGGUGCCUCGUUGCUUAUCGUGAAUAUUACACCGACAUGAAUUACUACAAGUAUACUGGUCUGUCCAAUAUGCAUUGACCGUAUUGGGUAUGGUAUCUGCUCUGAGAAGGGAAUCGCUGGAGCCACAGUCCAACUAUACAGGCUUUCAAGAAACAGAGAGGAGCCAUCUUUGCAAGCUGAUACCUGAUGUGUACCGACAGAAUUCUCACGAGAUACCUUUCGGACUACGUCUGGUGUAUACUUCAUAGUACUCCUUCGACUACGGUCUAGAAUCAAGUCAACUGAAACAAGUUCAAACAACUCUGGCUUCAAACGAGCCGUCGAUUAGACAAACAAAACAUUCUCUCAUAUACUAGAGCACUCUGACAACUCAUGACCUAUUCCUAACGAUUGCCACCGCUUAUAAAUAUGUAGAGUGCUGAUUGGAAUGUGCUCACAAUCUCAACAGUGCUAUAAUUAUUUGAACAAUGUGUUAUAAUAUUCCACUUUUCCUUCCAUAAAUGUUGUAUCCACAUAUAAUCCACAGUGCUGCAAAGUUUCAGAGUUCUCAGGGUAUCAAACAAAAUUAUUUCAAAUACAGUUAAAUUGUUCGUGGACAAUAGCGGAACUUGUAGUCCCCUGGUCCUUUUCUUUGCUAACGUUAUAAAUUAAUCCUUUGCUCUCUA